rnacentral:rRNA from 1 species
GACAGAGGAUGCAAGCGUUAUCCGGAAUGAUUGGGCGUAAAGCGUCUGUAGGUGGCUUUUAAGUCCGCCGUCAAAUCCCAGGGCUCAACCCUGGACAGGCGGUGGAAACUACCAAGCUGGAGUACGGUAGGGCAGAGGAAUUUCCGGUGGAGCGGUGAAAUGCGUAGAGAUCGGAAAGAACACCAACGGCGAAAGCACUCUGCUGGCCGACACUGACACUGAGAGACGAAAGCUAGGGAGCGAAUGG